UACGUAGGGUGCAAGCGUUGUCCGGAAUUAUUGGGCGUAAAGAGCUCGUAGGCGGUUUGUCGCGUCUGCUGUGAAAACUCAGGGCUUAACUCUGAGCUUGCAGUGGGUACGGGCAGACUAGAGUGCGGUAGGGGAGACUGGAAUUCCUGGUGUAGCGGUGAAAUGCGCAGAUAUCAGGAGGAACACCGGUGGCGAAGGCGGGUCUCUGGGCCGUAACUGACGCUGGAGGAGCGAAAGCAUGGGGAGCGAACAGG
rnacentral:rRNA from 1 species